rnacentral:rRNA from 1 species
AUUGAACGCUGGCGGAAUGCUUUACACAUGCAAGUCGAACGGCAGCACGGGGCAACCUGGUGGCGAGUGGCGAACGGGUGAGUAAUAUAUCGGAACGUGCCCAAUCGUGGGGGAUAACGUAGCGAAAGUUACGCUAAUACCGCAUACGAUCUACGGAUGAAAGCGGGGGAUCGCAAGACCUCGCGCGAAUGGAGCGGCCGAUAUCAGAUUAGGUAGUUGGUGGGGUAAAGGCUCACCAAGCCAACGAUCUGUAGCUGGUCUGAGAGGACGACCAGCCACACUGGAACUGAGACACGGUCCAGACUCCUACGGGAGGCAGCAGUGGGGAAUUUUGGACAAUGGGCGCAAGCCUGAUCCAGCCAUUCCGCGUGCAGGAUGAAGGCCUC